rnacentral:rRNA from 1 species
CCUACGGGUGGCAGCAGUGAGGAAUAUUGGUCAAUGGGCGCGAGCCUGAACCAGCCAAGUCGCGUGAGGGAAGACGGUCCUAUGGAUUGUAAACCUCUUUUGUCGGGGAGCAAAAGACGCCACGCGUGGCGUUCCGAGAGUACCCGAAGAAAAAGCAUCGGCUAACUCCGUGCCAGCAGCCGCGGUAAUACGGAGGAUGCGAGCGUUAUCCGGAUUUAUUGGGUUUAAAGGGUGCGCAGGAGGAAGUUCAAGUCAGCGGUAAAAUUGAGGGGCUCAACCUCUUCGAGCCUUUGAAACUGGUUUUCUUGAGUACAGUAGAGGUGGGCGGAAUUCGUGGUGUAGCGGUGAAAUGCUUAG